rnacentral:lncRNA from 1 species
AGACAGCAAAACAACAGAUGUUCACUUUAUUUGUUCCUUAUCUUGAUUGCAUGUUAUUCAUUUCUUAUCUCCAUAGUGCUUAUCAAAAACAGAUCCUUGCUGUCAGCAGUAGAACACUUCGGAUGACUCACUGGUCAGAUGCAAUAAGGGAUCACUGCCUGGGGUCUGGAGCUGUCCUUCAGUGUGAAGGUGAAUGGUUGACACUCACCUCUUCUGUAGGAAUGAGAGGUGAGGAAUGACUCGAUGGUCUUCAUUAGAUGCUCCAAAAGCCACUGUCUGGGAAACUCAGUUAAUUGUGCAGCCAAACUGAAAAGAGGUCACGCUACACUGACCUCUGAGAACUGGGGAUACCAGUUAAGGAGAAUCACUCCCAGGCCCACCCCACCGUCACUCCCUUUUGUUUAGUGUCUUGGGCUAUGAUCAAGAAUGAGCCCAGGAAUUCCUCACCAUGAGGAGAAGCCAGACUCGCAACAACGCUCUGUGAGUAUGAUUCUGUGCAUGUCUUUGUGUAUGUAGAGAGAUGAUUCAGGAGAAUGAAUCUUCAAUUGUGGAAGUUAGAAAAGUGCCAUUUUGGAGGGUUAUAAGCAGUUUUUCUCAUCUAUGAUAGAAAUUGUGUUUUGUGUCUCUGGAGAACUCCCUUUUUAUGAAUUGGGUCUACUUUCUACAUGUAGAUAUUACAUAAAUUCUCAGAUAAAGCUAGAGAAGUGGUCCAAAUGCUGAUGCUUGAAUCUGAGAUGUUAAAUAAUCUAUUUAGUAACAUUAAUUCAGAUUAUCAUUAGCAGAAUUAGGGUGCUACAGAAUUAGAUAAUUUGUUUCCCCUACAUCUGGAUUUGGGCUGCCCUGUGACUGAAAAUACUGUUUGUUCUCAGGAGAUCUUUUUGAAGGAUAUCAUGAGGCUUUACCAACCCUGGAGGGAAGAUUGUGUAUUAAGUUGAGUCUGGACUGGUGGUAUUUCAUCUAGAA